AAAUCCGGUUCACUUUAACACUGAGGCGUGACGACGAGGCACUACGGUGCUGAAGCAACAAAUGCCCUGCUUCCAGGAAAAGCCUCUAAGCAUCAGGUAACAUCAAAUCGUACCCCAAACCGACACAGGUGGUCAGGUAGAGAAUACCAAGGCGCUUGAGAGAACUCGGGUGAAGGAACUAGGCAAAAUGGUGCCGUAACUUCGGGAGAAGGCACGCUGACACGUAGGUGAAGUGAUUUACUCAUGGAGCUGAAGUCAGUCGAAGAUACCAGCUGGCUGCAACUGUUUAUUAAAAACACAGCACUGUGCAAACACGAAAGUGGACGUAUACGGUGUGACGCCUGCCCGGUGCCGGAAGGUUAAUUGAUGGGGUCAGCGCAAGCGAAGCUCCUGAUCGAAGCCCCGGUAAACGGCGGCCGUAACUAUAACGGUCCUAAGGUAGCGAAAUUCCUUGUCGGGUAAGUUCCGACCUGCACGAAUGGCGUAAUGAUGGCCAGGCUGUCUCCACCCGAGACUCAGUGAAAUUGAACUCGCUGUGAAGAUGCAGUGUACCCGCGGCAAGACGGAAAGACCCCGUGAACCUUUACUAUAGCUUGACACUGAACAUUGAGCCUUGAUGUGUAGGAUAGGUGGGAGGCUUUGAAGUGUGGACGCCAGUCUGCAUGGAGCCGACCUUGAAAUACCACCCUUUAAUGUUUGAUGUUCUAACGUGGACCCGUUACCCGGGUUGCGGACAGUGUCUGGUGGGUAGUUUGACUGGGGCGGUCUCCUCCUAAAGAGUAACGGAGGAGCACGAAGGUUGGCUAAUCCUGGUCGGACAUCAGGAGGUUAGUGCAAUGGCAUAAGCCAGCUUGACUGCGAGCGUGACGGCGCGAGCAGGUGCGAAAGCAGGUCAUAGUGAUCCGGUGGUUCUGAAUGGAAGGGCCAUCGCUCAACGGAUAAAAGGUACUCCGGGGAUAACAGGCUGAUACCGCCCAAGAGUUCAUAUCGACGGCGGUGUUUGGCACCUCGAUGUCGGCUCAUCACAUCCUGGGGCUGAAGUAGGUCCCAAGGGUAUGGCUGUUCGCCAUUUAAAGUGGUACGCGAGCUGGGUUUAGAACGUCGUGAGACAGUUCGGUCCCUAUCUGCCGUGGGCGCUGGAGAACUGAGGGGGGCUGCUCCUAGUACGAGAGGACCGGAGUGGACGCAUCACUGGUGUUCGGGUUGUCAUGCCAAUGGCACUGCCCGGUAGCUAAAUGCGGAAGAGAUAAGUGCUGAAAGCAUCUAAGCACGAAACUUGCCCCGAGAUGAGUUCUCCCUGAGACUUAGAGUCUCCUGAAGGAACGUUGAAGACGACGACGUUGAUAGGCCGGGUGUG
rnacentral:rRNA from 1 species